rnacentral:tRNA from 1 species
UAACCGAUAGCAUAGCGGCCAGAGAUCCCCCUCCUAAGGGGCAGGUCGAACGUUCGAUUCGUUUUCGGGGCACCA